rnacentral:misc_RNA from 1 species
GAAAAGACACUCUAACAAGGCCAAGGACCUUAUGCAAGCUAACAAAUGGCUGUGAUGAAACCCGACUCAGGCUGUAUUUAUAAAACGAAGAAAAAUAAAAUAAUUAAAAAUGGGACUUUCUCCUCAAUUCUAAACUACAAAAUAAGAACAAUCAGCAAAAGUCUACUGUUAUCCUUGAGCUAUCAUUGCUAACUCUUUCAGUAGAAACCAGACAAGACCAUAGAGGAUAACACGGGGGCAAAAUCCGGCAGCUGCAACCAAGGGACGCCAUUCUCG